rnacentral:rRNA from 1 species
GAAUAUUGGACAAUGGGGGAACCCCUAUCCAGCCAUGCCCCGUGGGGGAAAGAGGCCCUUUGGUUUUUAAGCACUUUUAGGCGAGAGGGAGAGCCUCUGGUUUAUACCCCAAGUGGCUUGACGUUACCCGCCGAAUAAACCCCGGCCUACUCCGUGCCCGCAGCCGCGGUAAUACAGAGGGUGCAAGCGUUAAUCGGAUUUACUGGGCGUAAAGCGCGCGUAGGUGGCCAAUUAAGUCAAAUGUGAAAUCCCCGAGCUUAACUUGGGAAUUGCAUUCGAUACUGGUUGGCUAGAGUAUGGGAGAGGAUGGUAGAAUUCCAGGUGUAGCGGUGAAAUGCGUAGAGAUCUGGAGGAAUACCGAUGGCGAAGGCAGCCAUCUGGCCUAAUACUGACACUGAGGUGCGAAAGCAUGGGGAGCAAACA